AGAUAAGCCANGCAUGUCUAAGUUACAUGCCGUAUUAAGGCGAAACCGCGAAUGGCUCAUUAAAUCAGUUAUGGUUCCUUGGAUCGUACCUUACUACUUGGAUAACUGUGGCAAUUCUAGAGCUAAUACAUGCAGCAGAGCUCCGACCUUAGGGGACGAGCGCUUUUAUUAGACCAAAACCAAUCGGACCUCGCGUCCGUACUCUGUGGUGACUCUGUAUAACUUUGGGCUGAUCGCACGGGCCCGUCCCGGCGACGUAUCUUUCAAGUGUCUGCCUUAUCAACUUUCGAUGGUAGGUUACGCGCCUACCAUGGUCGUAACGGGUAACGGGGAAUCAGGGUUCGAUUCCGGAGAGGGAGCCUGAGAAACGGCUACCACAUCCAAGGAAGGCAGCAGGCGCGCAAAUUACCCACUCCCAGAACGGGGAGGUAGUGACGAAAAAUAACAAUACGGGACUCUUUUGAGACCCCGUAAUUGGAAUGAGUACACUCUAAAUCCUUUAACGAGGAUCCAUUGGAGGGCAAGUCUGGUGCCAGCAGCUGCGGUAAUUCCAGCUCCAAUAGCGUAUAUUAAAGUUGUUGCGGUUAAAAAGCUCGUAGUUGGAUCUCAGUUCCAGACGGGUGGUCCGCCUACCGGUGGUUACUGCCUGUUCUGAACAGCCAGCCGGUUUCUCUUGAUGAUCUUCACCGGUUGUCUUGGGUGACCGGCAAGUUUACUUUGAAAAAAUUAGAGUGCUCAAAGCAGGCGCGACGCCUGAAUAAUGGUGCAUGGAAUAAUGGAAUAGGACCUCGGUUCUAUUUUGUUGGUUUUCGGAACACGAGGUAAUGAUUAAGAGGGACAGACGGGGGCAUUCGUAUUGCGACGCUAGAGGUGAAAUUCUUGGACCGUCGCAAGACGACUACUGCGAGNNUUUUUUNCCCAANAAA
rnacentral:rRNA from 1 species